AAUCAACGCUGGCGGCGUGCCUAACACAUGCAAGUCGAACGAGAAAGGGGACUUCGGGUCCCUGAGUAAAGUGGCGCACGGGUGAGUAACACGUGACUUAUCUACCCUCGAGUGGGGAAUAACUUCGGGAAACCGAGGCUAAUACCGCAUAAUACCCACGGGUCAAAGGAGCAAUUCGCUUGAGGAGGAGGUCGCGGCCGAUUAGUUAGUUGGCGGGGUAAUGGCCCACCAAGACAGUGAUCGGUAUCCGGCCUGAGAGGGCGCACGGACACACUGGAACUGAAACACGGUCCAGACUCCUACGGGAGGCAGCAGUGGGGAAUUUUGCGCAAUGGGGGAAACCCUGACGCAGCAACGCCGCGUGGAGGAUGAAGUCUCUUGGGACGUAAACUCCUUUCGAUCGGGACGAUUAUGACGGUACCGGAAGAAGAAGCCCCGGCUAACUUCGUG
rnacentral:rRNA from 1 species